UGUUGGUUUGCGCCAACUUUAACAUUUUGCAAUAACUUUUGUUAUAUUGAAGAAAGCAACUUCAUAUUUGGCAUGCAUGUGUAUCUCAUGAAGCUGCACAUUUUGAGUGGUGAAAGGUCAAGGUCAUCCUUCAAGGUCAGAGGUCAAAUAUAUGUGGCCCAAAUCGCUUAUUUUAUGAAUACUUUUGCAAUAUUGAAGAUAGCAACUUGAUAUUUGGCAUGCAUGUGUAUCUCAUGGAGCUGCACAUUUUGAGUGGUGAAAGGUCAAGGUCAAGGUCAUCCUUCAAGGUCAGAGGUCAAAUAUAUGUGGCCCAAAUCGCUUAUUUUAUGAAUACUUUUGCAAUAUUGAAGAUAGCAACUUGAUAUUUGGCAUGCAUGUGUAUCUCAUGGAGAUGCACAUUUUGAGUGGUGAAAGGUCAAGGUCAAGGUCAUCCUUCAAGGUCAGAGGUCAAAUAUAUGUGGCCCAAAUCACUUAUUUUAUGAAUACUUUUGCAAAAUUGAAGAUAGCAACUUGAUAUUUGGCAUGCAUGUGUAUCUCAUGGAGCUGCACAUUUUGAGUGGUGAAAGGUCAAGGUCAAGGUCAUCCUUCAAGGUAAAAUAUAUGGGUCAAAAUUGCUCAUGUAAUGUCACUUCUACAAUAUUGAAGCUAGCAAUUUUAUAUUUGAAAUGCGUGUGUAUCUCAAGGAGCUGCACAUUUUGAGUGGUGAAGGGUCAAGGUCAAGGCCAUCCUUCAAGGUCAAACGUCAUAUAGGGGGACAUUGUGUUUCACAAACACAUCUUGUUUAUCACUU